GACGAACGCUGGCGGCGUGCUUAACACAUGCAAGUCGAACGGAAAGGCUCCAGCUUGCUGGAGUACUCGAGUGGCGAACGGGUGAGUAACACGUGGGCAAUCUGCCCUGCACUCUGGGAUAAGCCUGGGAAACUGGGUCUAAUACUGGAUAGGACCUUUCUCCUCAUGGGGUUUGGUGGAAAGUUUUUCGGUGCAGGAUGAGCCCGCGGCCUAUCAGCUUGCUGGUGGGGUAAUGGCCUACCAAGGCGACGACGGGUAGCCGGCCUGAGAGGGUGAUCGGCCACAUUGGGACUGAGAUACGGCCCAGACUCCUACGGGAGGCAGCAGUGGGGAAUAUUGCACAAUGGGCGGAAGCCUGAUGCAGCGACGCCGCGUGAGGGAUGACGGCCUUCGGGUUGUAAACCUCUUUCAGUAGGGACGAAGCGUAAGUGACGGUACCUGCAGAAGAAGCACCGGCUAACUACGUGCCAGCAGCCGCGGUAAUACGUAGGGUGCGAGCGUUGUCCGGAAUUACUGGGCGUAAAGAGCUCGUAGGCGGUUUGUCACGUCGUCUGUGAAAUCCUAGGGCUUAACCCUGGACGUGCAGGCGAUACGGGCUGACUUGAGUACUACAGGGGAGACUGGAAUUUCUGGUGUAGCGGUGGAAUGCACAGAUAUCAGGAAGAACACCGAUGGCGAAGGCAGGUCUCUGGGUAGUAACUGACGCUGAGGAGCGAAAGCAUGGGUAGCGAACAGG
rnacentral:rRNA from 1 species